rnacentral:tRNA from 1 species
AGCUCCGAGGUGUUUUACACAUCAGAUUGCAAAUCUGAAGUAGCAGGCUAAUCCCAGCCGGGGCUU